UACGUAGGUGGCAAGCGUUGUCCGGAUUUACUGGGCGUAAAGAGCGCGCAGGCGGUCGUUCAAGUCGCGUGUGAAAGCCCCCGGCUCAACUGGGGAGGGUCACGCGAUACUGAUCGACUCGAAGGCAGGAGAGGGUAGUGGAAUUCCCGGUGUAGUGGUGAAAUGCGCAGAUAUCAGGAGGAACACCGAUGGCGAAGGCAGGUCUCUGGGCCACUACUGACGCUGAGAAGCGAAAGCAUGGGGAGCGAACAGG
rnacentral:rRNA from 1 species